ACCUGCCCAUUGAGAUUUGAAAGGCCGCGGUAUUAUGACCGUGCUAAGGUAGCAUAAUCAUUAGUCUUUUAAUUGGAGGCUGGAAUGAAUGGUCGGACAAGAGAUAAGCUGUCUUAAGUAAAAAUAUUGAAUUUAACUUUUAAGUGAAAAGGCUUAAAUCUUCUAGGGGGACGAUAAGACCCUAUAAAACUUUAUAUUUUGAAAUAAUAAUUAAUUUUGUGUGGGAGGUUUAUUUUUAAGUAUUUUAUUGGGGUGAUAAGGAUAAAAUAAUAAGUAACUGUCUUUUUUUUUAUUACAAUAAUAUUUGAGCAAAUGAACCUAGUAAGGGAAAGAAGAUUAAGUUACUUUAGGGAUAACAGCGUAAUUUUUUUUUAAGAGUUCUUAUCGACAAGAAAGUUUGCGACCUCGAUGUUGAAUUAAAAAUUCUUUAUAGAGCAGAAACUAUAAAAGAAGGUCUGUUCGACCUUUAAAAUUUUAC
rnacentral:rRNA from 1 species